rnacentral:lncRNA from 1 species
GCCGGCCCCAAAAGGCAGAGCGUGGCUGCCUGAGGCAGUGGUUCCUCUCCACCGGCUGAGGCCUGUGCGCAUACCUGGAGUGUCCUUGGCGUUCUCGUCCCUUGCCGUGGUCCUGACGGACAGGGCCCAGGUCCUGCCCCUUGUACAGGCCCAGAGGACUCCAUCAUCCGGCACAUAGCAGCCCCCAGCCUCCACAAGGCCUCUUCACGGGCCAACUACUGUGUGCUGAGCAUGGGGACAGACCCUAAACUCGCCACGUCCCCCAUUCCCCAGUGUGUUGGUGCAAGUUACCCCAAGCAAAGUAAGGAGAUCACAUGUGCCCAGCCCCAUUCCUGCCUGAUUCCUUAGCCAGCCACCAUGCCAUGCCUCUUCACCU